rnacentral:sRNA from 1 species
UGUUUAUUGAAAAACAUGGUGCAGUGUAGCCCGCUAUCAGUCAGCUUAUUGGAACUAACAUUUUUCUGUUUCUUUGCUUUCUACACGAUGCAGUGGAGUGCGAUCUUUUUGUGGGAGAUUGGGUGCCAGACCUAAAUGGUUCAAGGUACAACAAUGAGAGUUGUCGUGUGAUUGAAGAUCAUCAUAUCUGCAUGAUGAAUAAGGAUGAUAAAAUAUUUUGGAAUGUAGUGUAUAAAUAAG